AUGGGGACUGUCNCUGGCUUUUUGGGGGAACCCGUGAGCAUGUGCACGUCUUCGUUUUCUCUCGUCUCUACUUUACACUCUACACCUGUGCACUAUUGUAGGUCCUCGCAAGGGGAUCUAUGUCUUCUUAUCACACUUUAUCGUAUGGCCAGAAUGUAUUUAAAUCAAUUACAACUUUCAGCAACGGAUCUCUUGGCUCUCGCAUCGAUGAAGAACGCAGCGAAUCGCGAUAAGUAAUGUGAAUUGCAGAUUUUCAGUGAAUCAUCNAAUCUUUGAACGCACCUUGCGCUCCUUGGUAUUCCGAGGAGCAUGCCUGUUUGAGUGUCAUUUUCAUUCUCAAUCAAGGCUANAUUCAUUUCUAGACUUGACUUGGACUUGGGGGUUGCUGGCGGCCUUUGUGGCUAUCAGCUCUUCUGAAAUGCAUUANCGUGGGCGUAGCAAGUUUUAAAUGACGUAACGGCUCUGGAUGUGAUAAUGAUCGUCCUUGGCUGGAGCGUCUGGAGGGACUUGCAGACUGNGUCCGUGCUUCUAAAACCUAAUCGAACGAGUUUCAUUCAUGAUGUCUGUCCGCUUAGUUACUANUUGGACCCANCGAACACAAGGACUCGAGGGCUUANUUAUUANUCGGUCUUCUGGCGAACACNANCACUCGGGCACUUAGUUAUUAGUUGGUUGUCUGGCGAAACACAAACACUGGCUGGUUGGGUCAGCCUGGCGAACGCGAUCGCGUUCGAGCACUUAGUUAUUAGUUGGUUUCUGGCGAACACAAAGGACUGGGAGUGGUUUANCUAUUAGCUGGGUCAGCCUGG
rnacentral:rRNA from 1 species